rnacentral:rRNA from 1 species
UACAGAGGGUGCAAGCGUUGUUCGGAAUUAUUGGGCGUAAAGGGCGCGUAGGCGGUGCUGUAAGUCUGUGGUGAAAUCUCUGGGCUCAACUCAGAGUCUGCCAUAGAAACUGCAGUGCUGGAGUGUGGGAGAGGUGAGUGGAAUUCCCGGUGUAGCGGUGAAAUGCGCAGAUAUCGGGAAGAACACCCGUGGCGAAGGCGGUUCUCUGGGACGGUACUGACGCUGAGACGCGAAAGCGUGGGGAGCGAACAGG